AUAAUUGUCAGCUAAGUGGCGCACGGGUGAGUAAUGUAUAGAUAACCUGCCCUUAAGAAAGGAAUAACAGUUGGAAACGACUGCUAAUGCCCUAUAUGCCUUUAAUACAUAAGUAUGCAAGGGAAACGCUUUAGUGCUUAAGGAUGGGUCUGUAUGGUAUCAGCUUGUUGGUGAGGUAAUGGCUCACCAAGGCUAUGACGCCUAACUGGUUUGAGAGGAUGAUCAGUCACACUGGAACUGAGACACGGUCCAGACUCCUACGGGAGGCAGCAGUGGGGAAUAUUGCACAAUGGACGAAAGUCUGAUGCAGCAACGCCGCGUGGAGGAUGACACAUUUAGGUGCGUAAACUCCUUUUAUAUAGGAAGAUAAUGACGGUACUAUAUGAAUAAGCACCGGCUAACUCCGUGCCAGCAGCCGCGGUAAUACGGAGGGUGCAAGCGUUACUCGGAAUCACUGGGCGUAAAGAGCGUGUAGGCGGGUAUAUAAGUCAGAAGUGAAAUCCAAUAGCUCAACUAUUGAACUGCUUUUGAAACUGUAUACCUAGAAUGUGGGAGAGGUAGAUGGAAUUUCUGGUGUAGGGGUAAAAUCCGUAGAGAUCAGAAGGAAUACCGAUUGCGAAGGCGAUCUACUGGAACAUUAUUGACGCUGAGACGCGAAAGCGUGGGGAGCAAACAGGAUUAGAUACCCUGGUAGUCCACGCCCUAAACGAUGUACACUAGUUGUUGUGAGGCUCGACCUUGCAGUAAUGCAGUUAACACAUUAAGUGUACCGCCUGGGGAGUACGGUCGCAAGAUUAAAAC
rnacentral:rRNA from 1 species